AACGAACGCUGGCGGCAGGCCUAACACAUGCAAGUCGAGCGAAGCCUUCGGGCUUAGCGGCGGACGGGUGAGUAACGCGUGGGAACGUGCCCUUUGGUACGGAAUAGCCCCGGGAAACUGGGAGUAAUACCGUAUGUGGUCGAGAGACGAAAGAUUUAUCGCCAAAGGAUCGGCCCGCGUUGGAUUAGGUAGUUGGUGGGGUAAUGGCCUAACAAGCAGACGGUCCAUAGCUGGUUUGAGAGGAUGAUCAGCCACACUGGGACUGAGACACGGCCCAGACUCCUACGGGAGGCAGCAGUGGGGAAUCUUAGACAAUGGGGGAAACCCUGAUCUAGCCAUGCCGCGUGAUCGAUGAAGGCCUUAGGGUUGUAAAGAUCUUUCAGUGGGGAAGAUAAUGACUGUACCCACAGAAGAAGCCCCGGCUAACUCCGUGCCAGCCGCCGCAGUAA
rnacentral:rRNA from 1 species